rnacentral:lncRNA from 1 species
CCCUGCCUCCUUCUAGCAGCCUACCUUGGAAAUCUCAGUGUCUCAUCCUAAAGAGAGGAUAAAAAGCAAUCACCGUACACUUCAGAGGCUUUUUCUAAGCAUUCCAUGCAAUAACAAGUAUGGGAAACCUAUGUAUGUGAUCAGGUACUCAGGAAUUAUUUCUGCUCCAUUACCUGAGAGAAGUUAACAUAAACCCUAGGUAUUUCAUCUGAUUUUCACUCAAGUGCAAAAUAUGUCUAGUUUUAGUCUGUAAUGUGACUUCAGACCUGCAAGGCAGCAUGGCUGAGAGUCUGGACUACAAACUUAAUCAGUGAGCAGAGGAAAAACAAAAAACACAGGAUUUGUGGAUAUUUUUCUAACACUGAAAAAUGACACCUUCAAGUCUGCAAGGACACAUUUCUGGUUCCGAUAGUCCGGGCAUGGCUGCCCCAGUUACUCAAUCUCCUGUCACGUUGGAAAUGAAUCCAACUAGUAUCCAUGAGGACAAGGGUUUGAUCCCUGGACUCUCUCAGUGGGUUAAGGAUCCAAAAAGAAGAAAAAAAAAUAAAGCAGCUAUAAACAGACCUGGAGAUGUGGCCGGUUCCCCAGACCCUAAGUACUUCAGGCCUGGUAAACUGGCUCCACGCUGCAGAACGUGAUGUCAAUGUAGAUGCAGUUCUGAACAAGCCCAUUAUUUUCUCCCAGAGAAGAAGAGAAGGGUCGAAGUAGACAGACUCUCUCCAGUAAUCUCACCAACAUAAUUUGGGUGGGGAGGUGAGAGCCACUCAUUCACUUAUGCAUUCAUUCUGUCAGUCAGUCAACAAUUAUCUAUUAAGCCCUUAUUAAUGCCCUACUAGGAAUUUUUUCAGGUAAGGCAAACAAACUGGACAAGAAUGCUAGAGACUUUUCUUUCUACUGUGUGGUACAGGAUGGGGACUGUGCUGAGACACAGAAGGGAGAUGAAUCAGUGAAGUAAUAAAAUGAGGUGAUUCUGGACAAUGACAAGUGUCAUUAAAGAUGAUACACAGGGUAACAGGAUAGAGAUUGCAGAGUGGACGGGGGAACGGUUUUAGUUUGAGGAUAAAGGGAAGCCUCACCGAAGAGGUGACAUCUGAGCUACGAAUUAGAAGGAUCCACUUGUGCUAAGUUCUAGGGAAAGAGCUUGAUGGACAGAAGGGGGGACGUGCCCUGUGAGAAAGCCCACCCCUCCCUCUGAAGAGCUGGUUUGACUCAUAGUGUUUCCAGGGUGGAGUUUCCAUACACAGCUCGUUGAGACUUGAGGAAGCAUGGUGCUAAAGAAGCAUCCUCUUCCAACCCUCUGGAGGCACUGCUGCGGCAGCUCCACAGCAGAUCUGGAGCCUCAUUUGCCUCCUCCACUUGGCACGCACCUUCAUCUUUCAGUCUCAUAUCACAGAAAAAGCAUGUUAGAAGAGUAAGAGAGAGAAUACCCUAUGUGUGCAUAUAUAUGUAUAUGUACAUACACCCAAACACAGUAAUUUAGCUUCUAGGCACGUCUGUACAAGUUUGGAGUGGGCCUUCGCAAUUUUGUGGAGGGAACCUAGACGGAAAAAAUCAGGCAAAUAGAGGACUAUAGUGCCUGUUGAUGAUCUUGGCGCCUUUGAUCCUCACCCACUACCUCACACCUCCCCCAGGUUUGGACAAGGAUUUGUGUCUGAACCCCUCUAGAGCAGGCAGAAGCUGGGAGAGGCAUUUUAAAAGGUACCUGAAGCUGACUGAGGGGUCAGGCAACAAUACACAGCUUAGCAAGGAACAGGACAUCGUGGGCAGGGGACACGAUCAGCUUACAUCCAGUGAGAAUUUGCACCUUUAGUAUCUCAAUAGAAAGCCUCUUCUUCAGGGGCAUCUGUUUAAUGCGGGCCUCCCCUCAAUGCAGUGUCCACAAGGCUGGGGCCUUUGGAUGUCAAUCAGAAGAUUGUCCGAAAUAUAACAGAGUCACAAGGAACUUUUGGUGAAUUUGCCCCAAUCUUACAAAGGUCACUGGCAGUCAUGGCAAAAGGUGGACAUCCCCAAGCAGUGUCAAGACAAGAGUACAUGGGAAAAGGUUAUUUACAACCAUGUCAGGCACUCCUUCAUACACCCAGAAAUACAUAGAGGACAACUAUCCAAGUUAGGACAGUGGCAAGAGGCAAGGCAAGGUAAUAAUUACCAUUAGUCAGUUACCCUUGUGCCACAGAUGAAGCAGCCUAGAGAUGCAAACAAUGCAAGUUCAUGUGGAAUUUUAGGUGCUUGGGAAGGCCAUCUCAAUUUCUAGGGUUGAAUUAUGAGAUGAUUUGAAACUGUAAGGAAAAUUGUUCUAUUUGAAUAUACACUCUAAACUUAUUCUCAGUUAGACAUGGUAUUCAAAGCCAAAGCUCAGCUAAGAACCUGACUCUAACUACCCUAAUUUCUUCAAUAGUUGCUACUGGGCUCACAACCCUACUAGGAAAUGCCAAUGAUACUAACAUCCAUGUUUUACUCAACUCCGAUGACUUGAGCUGUAGCUCUGUGGUCCCUGCUGAGAAGAUGAUUUUUUUGUUUUGCUUUGUUUUUCCCUUUGGACAAGGCAAAUUCGCCACUGCCUAUGGCUUUGCCUAGGUUGUCAGGUUGGAUGUCCUUAGGAGAUCCUCCAGGGGAAUUUUGACCUUGGUCACUGUCAGGAACCAACCAUUUUCCUUCCAUCUCAAGUACGAUUUUCUUCUUAAUUUACAGUAAACCCUCUGAGUGCUUAACCAGACAAAGGUGAGCCCUCCUGUGGUCCAAGUACCAACUUACAUUUGCUGGAAGACCAAAUGUGUACAAACUUCAACUGGGAGUGUUUACCCGGAACUUCAAAGUUCCCAAGUUUUAGAAGCCGUUGUUAUAUUAAUAAUGUAAGCUUCAGGCACACAGAAGGGGAUCGAGGCCCCACCAAAGAAGAAGCAGAUAUUCAGUACUUCCUCUGAUGAUGAGUUCCUUGGUCAGCCAAUGAUGCCAGUGCCCACCUGUGCUCCUGCUGCAUCUCACAUACACUUAGAUGAAUCAUUAUAAUAAAAUGGUGCUAGCAGUACAAUCCUCCAUCCAUCUUCAAAAGCUGGCUCCACCCCUGAUCAUCUAUUUGGCCAAGCUUCUUGACUUUGCCUCAGUUUCUUCACCAGAAAGUCAAUGUAAGGAUGCCUGCCUACCAGAGUGGGAGAAUGGAUGAUAAAAUGAGAUAAUGGAAAUCCCUUAGCAGUGUCUUGCGUUCAGCAGGGACUCCAUAAACAUCAGCAAAUUAAGAGGGACCUAAUAGAAUGCUGUAAAAUUCCUUCCCACAGUCAGAGUCAAGAUGGCUGUGGAGGCAAGCAACAUGCCAGGUAUAAACCCCUGGUGAUUCCAAGGAAUAGCUGAGCAGGGUUUGUGGCUGAGAGUCAGCCAGGGAUGCUCUGGUUCUCACUAAGGAGAGGACCCCAUGAGUGCCAUAGGCUGAAGGAUCUGGGGACACAAGAUCACCCAAGAAUCAGGAAAUCUGAGACCCACAACAGCAGUCACAAAUCCACAAGCUAGUUUCCUCCUUGGACCUAGCCAGGGCUCAGAGGGAACACAUCUCCACUUCUCCAGCUACCAACAAAGGUCAAAGAACCUGCCCUGUCCAAGGCCUCCUCCGUGAAGAUUUCUGAGUCCCCUUUCCUCAAAGACGCCUGCUCCUCCUGGUUGCCCUGAUUCCUGGUAUCUCUAGUUCACAGCCAACUCAGAGUUGAGCGUGGGGCUUAUGGCCACGAGUUCUGGAAAUUGCACAGCCAGCUCAAGUCCCAGAUGCGCUGCCUUCUAGCGCAGGGCCCCAGACAAGUCACCUACCUUUCCUGGACCUUGGCUCUUCACCUAUCUGUAACAAGGAGAAAACAGCUAGCAUUGACCUCCUAGGGUGCUGAAAAGAUUAAACAAGAUCAAGAUGAGAAAGCCCUUAGCUUUCUAUGGAAACAAGCAACCGUCACCCUGGUUACUGCUGCUCCUUGAAUCUGCUCAGGGCCAGAGUGCAGGGGAAGGGGCCAGAGUUCGCCCACCCUUAGCGGCCCAAGUGGUCAGUGCGAACUGGACCAGGCAAAACCUUCAAAAGCACUCUUCUGGCCAUAUUCAGUGAGACAAACAGGGAAAGGCCCCUAUGCCUGCCAAAACUUGGCCUAGUAAAUAAUUGAUGUCCUGCCGUGUGUUCUUUUAUUCAGAAACGCCUUUGAAGUCCGCCCUCGCCCUUGCUGCAGGGCUCGGGAUGGUGGGGGAGGCGGGCCAGUAGGAGGGAAGGGAAGGAGGCACCGAAGAGGAAUGGGCAGUGUGUGAUCUGGAAGAUGGAAAACCUAAAGCCAUUUGGGGUAUUUGUUCAGGUCUGGAGUCAUUAACUGUAACUUUUAAUCAAGCAGGAUUCUUAGCAGCCAAGCACCAAAAAGGGAAGAUGGAGAAGAAUACAAAAGCAAUUCUUAGUAACAGCUGUGGGUGCUAGACCGACAGCUCCCUCCUGGGGAGGUGACAGUUGGUGAAAACAUUGAGCAGCAGGCAUGAGUUUACCUGGGCAAGAGCAGCCAGCCGGGCCUCACAGGGACUAAUUAUGAAAAUAUGAUUACCAUGGAUUAGUAAUCUUGUCAAUCAGAGCCACAUGCCAGGGAGCACCUGGCAGAGGGUGAAAAUGCCACAGGACAGAGAAUUUGAUGUUGGUGGGGGAUUUUUUUUUUUUUUUUUGGAGUGGGUUUAUAAAAAAACAUUCCUUCCCAGGAGGGAGGGCUGGGCCCUUCAAGUCCAGGGGAUGAGAACAUGCAGAGGAUGACCUAACAGGCCCCUGGCCAGGAGCAUGCAGGAUUCAGGAUUCACGACUCGACAGUCCUAGCAUGUCAAAAUUGGAAAUUCUGGAUGACAUCCUCUUAUUGCCAUCCAUGAGAACAGGCUCACAGUUUGCUCCCUGUUUUGCCUAAGCCUGGAAGGAAACGAGUAUUGUCUUCCCGUGGUCAUCAAGGAAAGGUAAAUACAGGCUAAGAAAUUAUAUUGGCAGAAAAUACUAACUACAGCUACCUUUCCUGGGCACACAGAAAUGCAUCUGGCCAGGUGCCCAGCAGUUUAGUCUUUGUCUCAUUUACUGCUUACAAAACCUUGUGAGCUAAGCACUAUUUCUCUCCUAAAACACCAGAAGCUCAGGUGUUGUGACUUGGCCCAUGCCAUAUCACAUGAAAAAAAUAGAUCUCUGAACUCCAGGACUUAUUCUCCCAGUCUCCAGCUUCUACUGCCUAUUGCAAAAGGGAACCAAAAACCAAAUCUUCUCCAUCUCCCUUUCCUGUAGCUGUCAAAGCAUCCUCCAUGUCACAGUGACAGCCAGGACAAAAGGAAGGCAGCAGCAACUAGAGGACCAGACACUCAACUGGGCAUCAGAGAACCGAUGUUUCUCAACUCAACUACGAGCUACCUCUAACAGAGUACUUACUGAGCCCUGUCAUUGUAUUAAAUGCUUUGAUUACUUUAGAUAGUUAACCUUCAAAGUAAAGGUACCAAGGAAGUAUCGAUCUAUGUCAUAGAUGAGCAAAUGGUGUCUUAGAAAAGUUGGGCAAUGGUCCAUAUGCUCAAGAGGUGGUAAGAGUUAGAGAAGAAACUCUAAACAGGUUGUUCUGAUACCCAGGCUUGGUUUCCUAUGACUACUCUCUUUGCGAGAGGCAUGUGAGUAUUUUAAAUCCUCAUCAACCUUCUCCAUAUCCUGUAUGCACAGCACUGAGCUACAGACUGAUCAAUUUUUCCCCCUGCAGAAACAAGAUAACAUUUGUCAAGUCAUUGUACUGAGUCAUCACCAGGAAAAGUGACCUGCAGUGGCAGGAGAUAAAAUUCUAUCCAGAUUCAUAGAAUUUUAUUACCGAGGAAAAUUCUAGAGUGACCUAAAUUUAAUUCAUAUUUGGCCAUGCAAAAAGAAAACAGAUCUGCUUUCUGGCUUAUGGUUGUUAGAGAUGAAGAAAUGGAAGCAUGCUCAGCUUGAUGUACAAAAGAGAAUGUCUCACAAUGUAUAUUGUAUGUUGUAAUCAUUACGAAUUCAAAUGUACACUAAAAAGAAAAACUGAAAGACUUUUGUAACACUGCAAU